rnacentral:rRNA from 1 species
AAGUCUAAGUAUAAAUCAAUUUUACUGAUGAAACUGCGAACGGCUCAUUAAAUCAGUUAUAAUUUAUUUGAUGGUACGGGAGAAAUCCCACUACAUGGAUAACUGUAGUAACCUAGAGCUAAUACAUGCAAAUCAGUCAAACUUUUUGGAAUGACUGGCACUUAUUAGAUAACAAACCAAUAUGUAGCAAUACAUUCUUAUGGUGAAUCAUAAUAACUGAACAGAUCGCAUGGUCUUGUACCGGCGACGUUUCAUUCAAAUUUCUGCCCUAUCAACUAGAUGCUAGUAUAGAGUACUAUCAUGGUUUUCACGGGUAACGGGGAAUUAGGGUUCGAUUCCGGAGAAGGAGCAUGAGAAACGGCUACUACUUCUAAGGAAAGCAGCAGGCGCGCAAAUUAUUCAAUGGAAACAAAUUUCCGAAAUAGUGACAAAAAAUAACGAUGCAUGGCCAUAUGGUUGUGUAAUUGAAAUGAGUACAAUUUAAAUCCCUUAACGAGUAACAAUUAGAGGGCAAGUCUGGUGCCAGCAGCCGCGGUAAUUCCAGCUCUAGUAGCGUAUAUUAAUGUUGUUGCAGUUAAAAAGCUCGUAGUUGAAACUUGAAUGUUGUAAUAGAUUUGGUUUUCUAAUUUAUUAGUAUAACUAUCUAUUCACAUUCUUCCUACUAGUAACUCGAUUCUGUUCUUAAUUGAAUGGAAUAGCAGUCUUUUCGGGGAUUGUCGAAUAGAGUGUUAAACUCCACCAUUUGUAUGGAUUUAUGUAAAAGUAGAAAAAAUAUGAUGAGUGGAUCAAGUUUAGUAUUUUAUUUGGAGUUCUAGUUCAUUUACUUUGAGAAAAUUAGAGUGUUUAAAGCAGCCUCUUGGGGCUCUGAAUACAUUAGCAUGGGAUAAUAGAAUAGGAUUUCAAUCAUAUUAUUGGUUUGAAUGGAUGAAAUAAUGAUUAAGAGGAACAGUUGGGGGUAUUUAUAUUGGAUGGGGACCGGUGAAAUGGGUGGAUCCAUUCAAGAUAAACUAAAGCGAAAGCAUUUACCAAGGAUGUUUUCAUUAAUCAAGAACGAAAGUUAAGGGAUCGAAGACGAUUAGAUACCGUCGUAGUCUUAACUAUAAACUAUGCCGACCAGGGAUAUGAGUUGUUAUGAAUACCCUCUAAAAAGGGUAUUCAAUUUCCUCUCGUGGACCUUGUGAGAAAUCAUAAGUUUUUGGGUUCUGGGGGGAGUAUGGUCGCAAGGCUGAAACUUAAAGGAAUUGACGGAGGGGCACCACCAGGAGUGGAGCGUGCGGCUUAAUUUGACUCAACACGGGAAAACUUACCAGGUCCAGACAUUAGAAGGAUUGACAGAUUGAUAGCUCUUUCAUGAUUUGAUGGGUGGUGGUGCAUGGCCGUUCUUAGUUGGUGGAGUGAUUUGUCUGGUUAAUUCCGAUAACGAACGAGACCUUUACCAUACUAAAUAGUUUAUUUUAUCUUUUGAUAGAAAACAUUAAAAAAACUUCUUAGAGGGACUAUUGGUUUUUAAACCAAAGGAAGUAAAGGCGAUAACAGGUCUGUGAUGCCCUUAGAUGUUCUGGGCUGCACGCGCGCUACAAUGAUAAACUCACCGAGUAAUUAUACUUUUAUUAGUAUUUUGCUUAUCCGGAAGGAUUGGCUAAUCUUAAACGUUUAUCGUGCUUGGGAUAGAUGAUUGCAAUUAUUUAUCUUGAACCAGGAAUUCCUAGUAAUCGUAUAUCAUCAGUGUGCGAUGAUUACGUCCCUGCCCC